UAGCCUAGCGGUUAAGGCUAUGGAUCGCCAAUCCGGAGACGACGGGUUUGAUUCCCGU
rnacentral:tRNA from 1 species